rnacentral:lncRNA from 1 species
UUUAUUCCAAAAAGCGACACUUUAUUGAUAGCAAUCAUUUUCAAAAUUAAUGGUUUUCCAAUCGGGUAAGGUGGCUCACGCCUGUAAUCCCAACACUUUGGGAGGAAGAGGUGAGCAGAUUGCCUGACCGGAAGGCGGAGGUUGCAGUGAGCCCAGAUUGCACCACUGCACUCCAGCCUGGGCAACAGAGCAAGACUACAUCUCAAAAAAAAAAAAAAAAGAUGGUUAUUUCAAGGUAGGAUUAUGGGUGAUUAUUUUUCUAUUUCCUGUUGUUUAUAUCUGCACUUUCUCCAACAACAUGCGACUUAUGUAUUUUUAAGUUAUAAAGAAAGUAAAAC